AGACCCGAAACCCGGUGAUCUAGCCAUGGGCAGGUUGAAGGUUGGGUAACACUAACUGGAGGACCGAACCGACUAAUGUUGAAAAAUUAGCGGAUGACCUGUGGCUGGGGGUGAAAGGCCAAUCAAACCGGGAGAUAGCUGGUUCUCCCCGAAAGCUAUUUAGGUAGCGCCUCGUGAAUUCAUCUCCGGGGGUAGAGCACUGUUUCGGCUAGGGGGCCAUCCCGGCUUACCAACCCGAUGCAAACUGCGAAUACCGGAGAAUGUUAUCACGGGAGACACACGGCGGGUGCUAACGUCCGUCGUGAAGAGGGAAACAACCCAGACCGCCAGCUAAGGUCCCAAAGUCAUGGUUAAGUGGGAAACGAUGUGGGAAGGCCCAGACAGCCAGGAUGUUGGCUUAGAAGCAGCCAUCAUUUAAAGAAAGCGUAAUAGCUCACUGGUCGAGUCGGCCUGCGCGGAAGAUGUAACGGGGCUAAACCAUGCACCGAAGCUGCGGCAGCGAACGUAUCACCCAAGACAACUUUACGGAGUUGACGAUUGACGGAGCGAAGCGACGUCAAAGCGUUCAUUAAAGUCGAGUUGGCUUAGGGAUACGUUCGUUGGGUAGGGGAGCGUUCUGUAAGCCUGUGAAGGUGUGUCGUGAGGCAUGCUGGAGGUAUCAGAAGUGCGAAUGCUGACAUAAGUAACGAUAAAGCGGGUGAAAAGCCCGCUCGCCGGAAGACCAAGGGUUCCUGUCCAACGUUAAUCGGGGCAGGGUGAGUCGACCCCUAAGGCGAGGCCGAAAGGCGUAGUCGAUGGGAAACGGGUUAAUAUUCCCGUACUUGGUGUUACUGCGAAGGGGGGACGGAGAAGGCUAUGUUGGCCGGGCGACGGUUGUCCCGGUUUAAGCGUGUAGGUGUGUGUUCCAGGUAAAUCCGGUUCACUUUAACACUGAGGCGUGACGACGAGGCACUACGGUGCUGAAGCAACAAAUGCCCUGCUUCCAGGAAAAGCCUCUAAGCAUCAGGUAACACGAAAUCGUACCCCAAACCGACACAGGUGGUCAGGUAGAGAAUACCAAGGCGCUUGAGAGAACUCGGGUGAAGGAACUAGGCAAAAUGGUGCCGUAACUUCGGGAGAAGGCACGCUGACACGUAGGUGAAGUGAUUUACUCAUGGAGCUGAAGUCAGUCGAAGAUACCAGCUGGCUGCAACUGUUUAUUAAAAACACAGCACUGUGCAAACACGAAAGUGGACGUAUACGGUGUGACGCCUGCCCGGUGCCGGAAGGUUAAUUGAUGGGGUCAGCGUAAGCGAAGCUCCUGAUCGAAGCCCCGGUAAACGGCGGCCGUAACUAUAACGGUCCUAAGGUAGCGAAAUUCCUUGUCGGGUAAGUUCCGACCUGCACGAAUGGCGUAAUGAUGGCCAGGCUGUCUCCACCCGAGACUCAGUGAAAUUGAACUCGCUGUGAAGAUGCAGUGUACCCGCGGCAAGACGGAAAGACCCCGUGAACCUUUACUAUAGCUUGACACUGAACAUUGAGCCUUGAUGUGUAGGAUAGGUGGGAGGCUUUGAAGUGUGGACGCCAGUCUGCAUGGAGCCGACCUUGAAAUACCACCCUUUAAUGUUUGAUGUUCUAACGUGGACCCGUAAUCCGGGUUGCGGACAGUGUCUGGUGGGUAGUUUGACUGGGGCGGUCUCCUCCUAAAGAGUAACGGAGGAGCACGAAGGUUGGCUAAUCCUGGUCGGACAUCAGGAGGUUAGUGCAAUGGCAUAAGCCAGCUUGACUGCGAGCGUGACGGCGCGAGCAGGUGCGAAAGCAGGUCAUAGUGAUCCGGUGGUUCUGAAUGGAAGGGCCAUCGCUCAACGGAUAAAAGGUACUCCGGGGAUAACAGGCUGAUACCGCCCAAGAGUUCAUAUCGACGGCGGUGUUUGGCACCUCGAUGUCGGCUCAUCACAUCCUGGGGCUGAAGUAGGUCCCAAGGGUAUGGCUGUUCGCCAUUUAAAGUGGUACGCGAGCUGGGUUUAGAACGUCGUGAGACAGUUCGGUCCCUAUCUGCCGUGGGCGCUGGAGAACUGAGGGGGGCUGCUCCUAGUACGAGAGGACCGGAGUGGACGCAUCACUGGUGUUCGGGUUGUCAUGCCAAUGGCACUGCCCGGUAGCUAAAUGCGGAAGAGAUAAGUGCUGAAAGCAUCUAAGCACGAAACUUGCCCCGAGAUGAGUUCUCCCUGAGA
rnacentral:rRNA from 1 species